rnacentral:rRNA from 1 species
AACGAACGCUGGCGGCAGGCCUAACACAUGCAAGUCGAGCGCCCCGCAAGGGGAGCGGCGGACGGGUGAGUAACGCGUGGGAACGUGCCCUUUGCUACGGAAUAGCCCCGGGAAACUGGGAGUAAUACCGUAUAAGCCCUACGGGGGAAAGAUUUAUCGGCAAAGGAUCGGCCCGCGUAGGAUUAGGUAGUUGGUGGGGUAAUGGCCUACCAAGCCGACGAUCCAUAGCUGGUUUGAGAGGAUGAUCAGCCACACUGGGACUGAGACACGGCCCAGACUCCUACGGGAGGCAGCAGUGGGGAAUCUUAGACAAUGGGCGCAAGCCUGAUCUAGCCAUGCCGCGUGAGCGAUGAAAGCCUUAGGGUUGUAAAGCUCUUUCGUGGGGGGAGAUAAUGACUGUACCCCAAGAAGAAGCCCCGGCUAACUCCGUGCCAGCCGCCGCCGUAAAAC